rnacentral:siRNA from 1 species
AUGAUCAAACAGAGCACACCGGA